AUAUUCCUGUACUUGGUGUUACUGCGAAGGGGGGACGGAGAAGGCUAUGUUGGCCGGGCGACGGUUGUCCCGGUUUAAGCGUGUAGGCUGGUUUUCCAGGCAAAUCCGGAUAAUCAAGGCUGAGGUGUGAUGACGAGGCACUACGGUGCUGAAGUGACAAAUGCCCUGCUUCCAGGAAAAGCCUCUAAGCAUCAGGUAACAUCAAAUCGUACCCCAAACCGACACAGGUGGUCAGGUAGAGAAUACCAAGGCGCUUGAGAGAACUCGGGUGAAGGAACUAGGCAAAAUGGUGCCGUAACUUCGGGAGAAGGCACGCUGAUAUGUAGGUGAAGCGACUUGCUCGUGGAGCUGAAAUCAGUCGAAGAUACCAGCUGGCUGCAACUGUUUAUUAAAAACACAGCACUGUGCAAACACGAAAGUGGACGUAUACGGUGUGACGCCUGCCCGGUGCCGGAAGGUUAAUUGAUGGGGUUAGCGGUAACGCGAAGCUCUUGAUCGAAGCCCCGGUAAACGGCGGCCGUAACUAUAACGGUCCUAAGGUAGCGAAAUUCCUUGUCGGGUAAGUUCCGACCUGCACGAAUGGCGUAAUGAUGGCCAGGCUGUCUCCACCCGAGACUCAGUGAAAUUGAACUCGCUGUGAAGAUGCAGUGUACCCGCGGCAAGACGGAAAGACCCCGUGAACCUUUACUAUAGCUUGACACUGAACAUUGAGCCUUGAUGUGUAGGAUAGGUGGGAGGCUUUGAAGUGUGGACGCCAGUCUGCAUGGAGCCGACCUUGAAAUACCACCCUUUAAUGUUUGAUGUUCUAACGUGGGCCCCUUACCGGGGUUGCGGACAGUGUCUGGUGGGUAGUUUGACUGGGGCGGUCUCCUCCUAAAGAGUAACGGAGGAGCACGAAGGUUGGCUAAUCCUGGUCGGACAUCAGGAGGUUAGUGCAAUGGCAUAAGCCAGCUUGACUGCGAGCGUGACGGCGCGAGCAGGUGCGAAAGCAGGUCAUAGUGAUCCGGUGGUUCUGAAUGGAAGGGCCAUCGCUCAACGGAUAAAAGGUACUCCGGGGAUAACAGGCUGAUACCGCCCAAGAGUUCAUAUCGACGGCGGUGUUUGGCACCUCGAUGUCGGCUCAUCACAUCCUGGGGCUGAAGUAGGUCCCAAGGGUAUGGCUGUUCGCCAUUUAAAGUGGUACGCGAGCUGGGUUUAGAACGUCGUGAGACAGUUCGGUCCCUAUCUGCCGUGGGCGCUGGAGAACUGAGGGGGGCUGCUCCUAGUACGAGAGGACCGGAGUGGACGCAUCACUGGUGUUCGGGUUGUCAUGCCAAUGGCACUGCCCGGUAGCUAAAUGCGGAAGAGAUAAGUGCUGAAAGCAUCUAAGCACGAAACUUGCCCCGAGAUGAGUUCUCCCUGACUCCUUGAGAGUCCUGAAGGAACGUUGAAGACGACGACGUUGAUAGGCCGGGUGUGUAAGCGCAGCGAUGCGUUGAGCUAACCGGUACUAAUGAACCGUGAGGCUUAACC
rnacentral:rRNA from 1 species